rnacentral:ncRNA from 1 species
CUGGUUGAUCCUGCCAGUAGUCAUAUGCUUGUCUCAAAGAUUAAGCCAUGCAUGUCUAAGUUCAAGCGAAAAUAAAGUGAAACCGCGAAUGGCUCAUUACAUCAGUUAUGGUUCCUUAGAUCGCACUUACUACUUGGAUAACUGUGGUAAUUCUAGAGCUAAUACAUGCGCUGAGCUCCAACCCUCGUGGAAGGAGCGCUUUUAUUAGAUCAAAGCCAAUCGGGCCUUCGGGUCCGUUACAUUGGUGACUCUGAAUAACUUUGCUGAUCGCACGGUCUCGUACCGGCGACGUAUCUUUCAAGUGUCUGCCUUAUCAACUGUCGAUGGUAGGUUAUGCGCCUACCAUGGUGGUAACGGGUAACGGGGAAUCAGGGUUCGAUUCCGGAGAGGGAGCCUGAGAAACGGCUACCACAUCCAAGGAAGGCAGCAGGCGCGCAAAUUACCCACUCCCAGCUCGGGGAGGUAGUGACGAAAAAUAACGAUACGGAACUCUUAUGAGGCUCCGUAAUCGGAAUGAGUACACUUUAAAUCCUUUAACGAGGAUCUAUUGGAGGGCAAGUCUGGUGCCAGCAGCCGCGGUAAUUCCAGCUCCAAUAGCGUAUAUUAAUGUUGCUGCGGUUAAAAAGCUCGUAGUUGGAUCUCGGUUUCGGGCGAGUGGUGCACCUUGCGGUGUUUACUGUUUGCCCGGACGAUCUUGUUGGUUCGUUUAUGGUUCUCUUAACCGAGUGCCAUAAGUGGCCAGCACGUUUACUUUGAAAAAAUUGGAGUGCUCAAAGCAGGCGCUACAGCCUGAACAUUAGUGCAUGGAAUAAUGGAAUAGGAUCUCGGUUCUAUUUCGUUGGCUUUCGGAGUCGAGGUAAUGAUUAAUAGGGACAGACGGGGGCAUUCGUACUGCGACGUUAGAGGUGAAAUUCUUGGAUCGUCGCAAGACGAACUACUGCGAAAGCAUUUGCCAAGAAUGUUUUCAUUAAUCAAGAACGAAAGUUAGAGGUUCGAAGGCGAUCAGAUACCGCCCUAGUUCUAACCAUAAACGAUGUCGACCGGCGAUCCGCUAUCGUUAACUGAAUGACUUAGCGGGCAGCCUCCGGGAAACCAGAGUAUUUGGAUUCCG